rnacentral:rRNA from 1 species
AUGCGAAGGCAGCUUUCUGGAUCAUUACUGACACUGAGGAACGAAAGCAUGGGUAGCGAAGAGGAUUAGAUACCCUCGUAGUCCAUGCCGUAAACGAUGUGUGUUAGACGUUGGAAAUUUAUUUUCAGUGUCGCAGGGAAACCGAUAAACACACCGCCUGGGGAGUACGACCGCAAGGUUAAAACUCAAAUGAAUUGACGGGGACCCGCACAAGUAGUGGAGCAUGUGGUUUAAUUCGAAGAUACGCGCAGAACCUUACCAACACUUGACAUGUUCGUCGCGACUCUAAGAGAUUAGAGUUUUCGGUUCGGCCGGACGAAACACAGGUGCUGCAUGGCUGUCGUCAGCUCGUGUCGUGAGAUGUUGGGUUAAGUCCCGCAACGAGCGCAACCCUCACUUUUAGUUGCCAUCAUUAAGUUGGGCACUCUGAAAGAACUGCCAGUGAUAAGCUGGAGGAAGGUGGGGAUGACGUCAAGUCCUCAUGGCCCUUACGUGUUGGGCUACACACGUGCUACAAUGGCAUCUACAACAGGAAGCAAAACGGCAACGUUAAGCAAAUCCCGAAAAGAUGCCUCAGUUCGGAUUGCACUCUGCAACUCGAGUGCAUGAAGCUGGAAUUACUAGUAAUCGUGGAUCAGCGUGCCACGGUGAAUGCGUUCCCGGGUCUUGUACACACCGCCCGUCACACCAUGGGAGUUGGUUCUACCUUAAGGCAAGGUUUCAAACCCUUGACCACGGUAUAGUCAGCGACUGGGGUGAAGUCGUAACAAGGUAGCCGUA